UUGGGCUGAUGUUGCUCUCGGGGACCGGUCUCUGCAGGUGAGAGACCGGUUCCCCUGGCUGGGUGUAGCGGGGUUGCGUGAUGCAACCGGUCCCUAGCAGGGAGGGACCGGUUCCCGAACGUGGUCCCAGCGAGAAGUGCCAAAAAUUGGCUAAGUCCUGAAAAUCGAGCUCUCGGGGACCGGUCUCUCAGGUGAAGACUGGUCUCCCGAGGACCGGUCUCCCGGGGAGAGACCGGUUCCCGAACGCGUGCGCCCGAGGGAAGCUCUCGGGGACCGGUCCCAGGUCGGGGAGACCGGUCCCUCCGCGCGAAAACUGCCCAGUGAGGGCAGUGCACAGGAGUGAAAGUUGAGGGGCUUUUAUGCAAAAUGGCUUUUAUUUGAGUGGGCUGAGCCCUCUCUCUCCCUCACACUCUCUCUUUUCACUCUCUCUCACUCUCUUGCUCUCUUGCUCUCUCUCUCUCUAGAGAUAACAAAGAAGGAGAAGAAGAAAGAGAAGAAGAAGAAGGAGGAGAAGAAGAAGAAGAAGGAGGAGAAGAAGAAGGAGGCUAGGAGCAUCUCCCUCUCCCUCUCCUCUCCCCAUUGGUGUAGCUCAAGAGGUAAGCUACAAACCCUAGCUCUUAGAACUUAGGGUUUUUGGGUUUUAUGCUUUGGAAUGGGUCAAAUGAACCCUAAGCUAGCUUCUAAAUAGAUCAAUCCCAAGAAUCUAGGGAUUUAUUGGGUGGUUUGCUAUAGGUGCAAACCUAGGGCUCCAAAAUGGGGUUUUUGUAAAAGUAUGAGAUUGAUCUCAUUUGAAGCCUUGGAAACCCUAUUGAUAGGUCCCAAAACGCGGGGGCGAAGUCGAUUUCGGCAUUCGGCGAACCGACGUGAAGUUCUCGGCAAAAUUG
rnacentral:lncRNA from 1 species